rnacentral:rRNA from 1 species
AUUGAACGCUGGCGGCAGGCUUAACACAUGCAAUCGAGCGGGCGAGGUUGCUUCGGUAACUGAGCUAGCGGCGGACGGGUGAGUAAUGCUUAGGAAUCUGCCUAUUAGUGGGGGACAACAUUCCGAAAGGAAUGCUAAUACCGCAUACGCCCUACGGGGGAAAGCAGGGGAUCUUCGGACCUAGCGCUAAUAGAUGAGCCUAAGUCAGAUUAGCUAGUUGGUGGGGUAAAGGCCUACCAAGGCGACGACCUGUAGCGGGUCUGAGAGGAUGAUCCGCCACACUGGGACUGAGACACGGCCCAGACUCCUACGGGAGGCAGCAGUGGGGAAUAUUGGACAAUGGGCGCAAGCCUGAUCCAGCCAUGCCGCGUGUGUGAAGAAGGCCUUUUGGUUGUAAAGCACUUUAAGCGAGGAGGAGGCUACUUGGAUUAAUACUCUAGGAUAGUGGACGUUACUCGCAGAAUAAGCACCGGCUAACUCUGUGCCAGCAGCCGCAGUAAGAC